rnacentral:rRNA from 1 species
GAUGAACGCUGGCGGCGUGCCUAAUACAUGCAAGUCGAGCGAACAGACGAGGAGCUUGUUCCUUUGACGUUUGCGGCGGACGGGUGUGUAACACGUGGAUCAUCUACCUAUAAGACUGGGAUAACUUCGGGAAACCGGAGCUAAUACCGGAUAAUAUACUGAUCCGUAUGGUUCAAUAGUGAAAGACGGUUUUGCUGUCACUUAUAGAUGGAUCUCCGCCGGAUUAGCUAGUUGGUAAGGUAACGGUUUUUGAAGGGGACGAUGCGUAGCCGACGUGCGAGGGUGGUCGUCCACACUGGAGCUGGAACGCGGUCCAUGCGCCUACGAGAGGCAGCAGUAGGGAAUCUUCCGCAGUGGGCGAAAGCCUGACGGAGCAGCGCCACGUGAGUGAUAGAGGUCUUCGGAUCGUAAAACUCUGUUAUGAGGGAAAAACAAAUGUGUAAGUAGCUGUGCACGUCUUGACGGUACCUGGUCAGAAAGCCACGGCUAACUACGUG